CUUAUCUUUUGAUAUGCUCUAUAGUCUCUAUGUGGCACAACCGUGGGAUAUGUUUCGGAAAAUUUUAAUUUGCUAUGACGUUUGCAGCUCAAAUUCAAGCAUGAAUGCUGCAAGGAUACUGAGGUGUAUACAAUCCAAGCAAUGCCUAUGACUUGCCUUUGUGACAUAGAUCACCAACCAAUACUCGACUCGAAGAUGUCAGACCUAAUUGCUGAAUAUUUAAAUUAACUGGCCUGUUCAUCAAAACCCUAUCGAUAGAAUUCAUGAAAUCUUCUUUGAAUUGUUUAGGAAACUCAUCGUCGAUAGGGAGACUCGAGAGCGACAUGGAGAGGGGCCUCCAUCUCUUGGACAAGACGCUGGUGCGCACAGCUGAUUGAAAUGGAAGCAAGGAUGGGAUCAACAAAAGGAGCGAGUCGGGGAGCUGGCUGAUUCUAUCGGCUUUCGAUCGUUUAGACCCCCUUGAAGCUUUCGAUCGUUUGGAACCCAUUACUGUAUGAAUGAGAUGUUCAUUACUAUCUAGAAAGUUCAUGGACGAUUAUUGAUGAUACAUAUUCAUAUUUAUCC